CGCGGGGUGGAGCAGUCCGGAAGCUCGCAAGGCUCAUAACCUUGAGGUCCCCAGUUCAAAUCUGGGCCCCGCAACCA
rnacentral:tRNA from 1 species